CCGGCCUGUCCCGGGCAGGCUCGGGGCGACCGCGGGAUGCGGCGCUGAGCGCGCUCCGCUCGCCUUCUCCGUCCCUCUGUCCGUCCGUCCGUCGGUCACCCCGCCCGGGCUCCCGCACGCCGAGAUUCCUUCCCGCAGCCCAUGAUGUGCCUGGAAAGCGACGGCUCCUCCGGCAGCAGCCCGGGCUGCGGCGGGCGGCUCCGAGCUGGCGACGAGGAGGAGGAGGAGGACGGCGAGCGGGGCUGCUGCGGCCGGGGCGCCGAGGGCGAGGUGCAGACGCUGUCGGGCAGGAUGAACCCUCCGGCGGCCGGCAAGCACCUCGACCGCCCCGCCGCCCUCCGCAAGGCGCCGACCCUCGGCAGGGCCCGGGUAGCGGCCGCCGGCAUCCUCAGUGUGGGCAACGUGCUCAACUACCUGGACCGGUACACCGUGGCAGGUGUGUUACUGGACAUCCAGCAGCACUUUGGAGUCAAGGACAGCGGGGCUGGCUUGUUACAGACAGUUUUUAUCUGCAGUUUCAUGGUCGCGGCGCCGAUCUUUGGUUACCUUGGUGACCGGUUCAACAGAAAGAUCAUUCUCAGCUGUGGGAUCUUCUUUUGGUCAGCUGUCACUUUUUCAAGCUCCUUCAUCACUGAACAGUAUUUCUGGCUGCUCGUGCUCUCUCGGGGGUUGGUUGGCAUCGGUGAAGCGAGUUAUUCCACGAUUGCCCCCACCAUCAUCGGAGACCUGUUCACCAAAAACACCAGGACCCUUAUGCUGUCUGUUUUCUACUUUGCAAUUCCUCUGGGCAGUGGCCUGGGAUACAUCACGGGGUCCAGUGUGAAGCAGGUUGCUGGAGACUGGCACUGGGCACUGCGGGUAUCUCCACUCCUAGGAAUGAUAACAGGGACACUCAUCCUGAUAUUUGUGCCUGCUGCUAAAAGAGGAAAUGCUGAACAACUUGGGGGGCAGCUGAAGGCUCGGACUUCAUGGCUGAGAGACAUGAAAGCAUUGAUUAGAAACCGCAGCUAUGUGUUCUCAUCCUUGGCCACCUCAGCUGUGUCCUUUGCCACGGGGGCCCUCGGCAUGUGGAUCCCUCUGUAUCUGCACAGAGCACAGGUGGUGCAGAAGACAGCAGAGACCUGCAGCUCCCAGCCCUGCGGCACCAAAGAUAGUUUGAUUUUUGGAGCAAUCACCUGCUUCACUGGCUUCCUGGGUGUGAUCACAGGGGCAGGGGCGACCAAGUGGUGCCGCUCGAAGACACAGCGCGCCGAUCCUCUCGUGUGUGCAGUGGGGAUGCUGGGAUCAGCCAUCUUCAUCUGCCUCAUCUUCGUGGCUGCCAAGAGCAGCAUCGUGGGAGCCUAUAUUUGCAUUUUUAUCGGAGAAACUCUUCUGUUUUCAAACUGGGCUAUCACAGCAGACAUACUAAUGUACGUGGUCAUUCCAACUCGCCGUGCAACCGCAGUGGCCUUGCAGAGCUUCACUUCACACCUCCUGGGAGAUGCUGGCAGUCCUUAUCUCAUUGGAUUUAUCUCCGACCUGAUACGACAAAGCACAAAGGAGUCCCCAGUGUGGGAGUUCCUCAGCCUGGGUUAUGCCCUCAUGCUCUGCCCGUUUGUCGUUGUCCUGGGAGGGAUGUUCUUCCUGGCCACAGCCCUCUUCUUCCUCAGUGACCGAGCUAAAGCUGAGCAACAUAAAGAAACCGAUUCGGAUCAUCUCACGGUUGGCAACUACAGUAAUUCGGAAGACGCUUCCACAUGACAUACAAACUUCUGGGGGUGAAUCACCUUGUGAUGCCACCAGCCUCUGUGAAAGUCUGAGACGCUGCCACUGGAGGCAACGACGCGUGGACUCCUGCCCCCGCCACACCAGUGUCACUCUGGAGGCCCCUGUGACUGGAUCUCAGCGGAUCCUGCAGCCCCCAGGGGCUCCCUGCACCACACCCAGCCCUGCAGCCUGCGGGGCAGGCACCGGGAGAGGGGCGGGCAGCGGGACACGGCAGCUUGGGGACACGGGGACAGUCACAGGGUCCCCUCAGCACGGGACCAGCUGGCCACUGACCACACAGUGCUGCCCACGUGAGCAACUGUAGAUUGUGUAAAUGGUGUUAGUUGUAGCCAAUGAAGUCCACGUUGUUUGUAGGGCAGCUGGUGUCCUAUGAACGCUGCUGCUCUGCCAGCACUCCCACAGACUGCACUAGUUGAGGACCUGUUCUGUACAUCACCUUUUCUUUGACACUGAAGGCUUGAUUCAGAUUAUUAUUUUUUAUUUAAAUAUGUUAUAAGAUGCUUUAUCUCUGCUGAAGACAUUAGAUGAGAUAUAUAUAUAUAUACUUAGAUGAACAGUUUUUAUUUAAACAUUUGAAAUCUGGAGCUGCCUGUGCAACCAUAGCAGACAUGAAAAACGUCCACAGCUCUCCUCAGUGCCCUGGUGCCAGGGCCUGCAAGGGCACCACAGGAAAACUUCCAGUGGUGACCUUGCUGUCACUGAGACUGAGCAAUGGGACAGAGGAGAGAGUUUCACUGCACUGGGUAUGCUGGUGGUUGUCACAGAAAGCCCAGAAGAACAUUGGACAGAACCCCCUAUGGGCUCUGGAGUUUUCCAUAUGCUAAAUUCAACCUCCCUAGGAGGUUCACAGGCUUUUAAAAUACCAAAAUCCAGCUGGCUGAGUGGCUGUACCUUGGGCCUGGGAGUGCAAUACUGCUGUGCCAGUGACCUCAUGCUUUGUUUACAUGAUACCAUAUCAGACUGUCAAUGCUAAUUCUCCCUGUCAGUGUCCCAGAGCUGGCACUGCCUUGGAGCAGUGCUGGGUUCCUGCACACCCAGCCCGACCUGUCCCAGAGCACUGUCACUGGUGUCACCUGCACCUUUACAAACCUGCACUGGAGAGCUCUCACACAGGGCCAGUGCCUCAGCUGGGCUACACUCAAGUGCAGAAGCAUCUCGUGGUGCCAUUCCCCUGGAGCCUGGAGUCCUGUGCUUGGCCUCCACACCCAAGGGGAGCACAGGUCCUGGAGAGGGCCAGGCUGCACAGGGAGGCCCUGGCUCAGCAGCCCCCGUUCCCUGUGUUCUGAGCCCUCUCUCACAGGUCAGAUCCCCCCUCCAGGUCAGCACAGCUUCAGCUGGUGAAAGCACAUUCCUCAUUCCUCACAGCUCACAGGUGAGCACCUGGGGUCCAAGGAGGACUAAACCAGCUCAGGAAGUGUCAGAGCAGGACUAGAUGUGAGCUGAGGCUGGGAGCUGCUGUCCUGGCUGUGCCAGAAGAGUCCUCAGGCACGGGAAGGUGCUGUCAGUCACUCUGGGUUUAUCUCCCAUUCCCUGCCAGGAUUGCUGGGCCCUACAGCAGAGAUGGUUCUAAUUCCAGGUGCCACCCCACAGCAAGUCCCUGCCCAGGCUGGGGGUUCCUGUAAUCCCCUGAGCCCUUCCUCCUCCCCAGACCUCACAGGGCUCCUCUGCAAGGGUCCUGAAAUCCCUUAACAACAGCUCUCAGACUCGGCUGAAAUACCAGAGUCAGAAGUGUUCCUCUAGGGCCUGAGCAAGCAGGUGCUAGAAAUAACAAAGCAAAGCAAAUCCCAGCAGUGCUUCACUUCCUACCUCGUGCCACUAUUUACACUGGGGGGGAAACAGCCACUGGAGUCUGGGAGCCAAACACUUGGCUUUAAAGGCACAUGAAUUUCUGAUUCCCAUUAAGAAAUUCCUUUUUAAGCUGUUUAAAAAGAAACAAAAAGCAACCCAACAAUCAGUCAUUUCAUCUCAGAGACCAAAGAAGAUUAACCACAUUUCCUAAAUUGCUUUUCUGAUAGGCUCUGUGUUGUAGCAUUUACUGUCAACAAAAUGGAACAUUUCUGCUGGGGUUCAGAGAUUAGGAAUUCUCCUUAAACUUAAUUCUCAGGAGUCAACGAUGAAAAGGGGACUGAAGUGUUCUGUAAUGUCACUGGCAGUCCUUGCUUGUGACAGGCUCCAGUCCCUGUCAGAGCUGGUUUUAUCCUUUGUGCACAUGAAGGAAAUGCUGUGGAUUGUGUUCAAACAAGGACAGAGGGAAGGGAGCAAACAAGGGAGUGACGAGUGACGCCUGCCUUCACCCAGGGGUCCCUGAAUCCCUGCUCCCACUUGUUCCAGGCUAAGACAGGGAGGCUCAGGCUUCUUCCAGAUCCUUGCUGCAUUCACCAGGGCCUGUGCAAGUGUCCAGAGGCACCAGGGAGGCUCCAGCUGCCCCUCAGUUAAUCAUAAUCUACUCCACUUCAUGAAGGGGAUUUUUUAAAGCAUUAACUCCCCCCAGCUGAUGCUGCACUGGCAAUGGGGUGGUUGGGACACAGUGUGGGAAACUGAGGCACCAGGCCCUGCCCAGAGAGGGGGAGACUGACCCAGAGGGCAGCAAAGCUGCCAAUGCAGGGGCUGCUGCUGCCACUGCCCCCAGAGCAGCUUUGGGGCCCCAGGAGCCUCUCCCCACAGGCAGGGUGACGAAACCCCAAAACUGGCUGUGCUCUGGGAAGCAGAGUCCUCCCAAGCUCCACCCCAAAUGCUGUUUUCUUCUCCAUUUGCUUUAUUGUCUGGUGAACCAGCACUUACAAUCACUUUUACCACGUGAUGUACGGGAGUAUUAGAAUAUUUUCUUGUUAUACAAGGGAGGAGUAUAAAAUAGUUUUCUGAUUUCUUUCAGAAGCAAAUGACUAUUUUAUUUUUUAAGAGCAAUUGAUUGUGAAUCUCAGAGUAUAAAAAAAAAGAUAAGCCAAAUAUAUACCUUUAUGUAAA